rnacentral:rRNA from 1 species
UACGUAGGGGGCGAGCGUUGUCCGGAGUUACUGGGCGUAAAGGGCGUGUAGGCGGUCCGCUAAGUCUGAUGUGAAAGCCCGGGGCUCACCCCCGGAAGUGCAUUGGAAACUGGCGGACUCGAGUCCCGGAGAGGAGAGUGGAAUUCCUGGUGUAGCGGUGAAAUGCGUAGAUAUCAGGAGGAACACCGGUGGCGAAGGCGGCUCUCUGGACGGUGACUGACGCUGAGACGCGAAAGCGUGGGGAGCAAACAGG